GUCAUGGUGGCUUAGCGGUUAGAACAUUUGUCUUGCACCUCCAGGGUUGGGGUUCAAGUCCCACCCUUACA